GCCUGAAUGAUUCCUAGUGAUCGAGGGUGCAGGCUUCAAACCUGUGGCUGUCUCGUGACAGAAUGGUUCAAUUCUGCCUUCCAGGCC